rnacentral:lncRNA from 1 species
GGCCCCUGCGACUCCUGGUGCCCGGCUGGGACACGUGGGGCCGGCUUUGCGGAGUCAGCAGGGCCAAGGUGCGCGGGGUGCGCUCCCCCCCGGAACCCCGCCCCUUCUCACCCCAUCUCGCUUUUUUGGGAGAGGAGAGUGGAGCCGUCAGCACCCACUGGCAGUGUCGGUGCUGUGCUGGGAGUCCUCCCAGACCAGCCCACUCCUCCUGGUUUGAGCUUCCGAUCCAUCCCUACUCCUUUACGGUUCUUCUUCCCCGUAGUUAACCUGCGGAGAGGAGGAGGUACUGUCUCCGCACAAGGUACUGCGGAGGUACCUUGCGGAGGAACCUUGCGGAGGAGGUACUGCGGUGGGGAGGCAGGGGGGAGGCGCAUCUGCCUCCGCACAAGGGGUCUAAUGGCUUGCUUAUUCCUUCUAGGCCAGGUUGAAAGGUUUUUAAAAGCAGGUGGGGGUGCCAGGAUAGUGAGAAAAACAAGAAAAGACACUGCUUUUUACCCCAUGCGGGGCAGAGCUGGUCUCCUUUCUGCAGGUGUUGAGGGGAGUUGAGUAGGAGCCCAGAGCUGGUACAGGCCCCGUUUAACGUGCCCCCGCAGAGUGAGGGCUGGGGGUCACCCCAUAGGCAGGGGAGCCCUUCUGGGAGGGAAUUCCUGCUUAGGUGGGAGGUUGACCUGAAUGACAUCUAGGUCCUCUACCUCCCAGAUGCCGAAUUUUCAGGGAAGGAACCAAAUGGAUGUAUGGCCCAUGCCUGGGUUUGAAUCCCAGUUCUGGCCUUCAUUCCUCCAGGCCUCCAUUUCCUUGUCUGCACUAUGGGGCCAUGGUGAGAACUCUGAAAUAACACCAACUGCCUGGUGCUUGGUAGGUGCCACAUUACAAAAGCGGUGGGAAGGAGGCCCUUUGGUUUCCAUGUCGGUGGUCAUGUCCCACAGUCCCCGUUGCCAUCCUGAUUAUGGAAAACUUCAUUUCAUGCUCCAAAUGUUCCUCAAUUCCUGGCACUGUUCUAGGUCCUGCACCCAGGCUGGUAUGAAAAAGGUGCCGAGAAGGUCCCAUGCAUCACCAGCCUGGAGGUAGCAGCAGAAGGGAAACCAGUGCCUCUGAGAGUGGGCAACUGUGCCCCAUCCACCUCCUCUUCUUCUUGGAGAUCUCAAGAUAAGACAAGAGACAUCAACCUGGGAUUGGGUUUCUGGGCAGAGAGUAAAAGUGAGCUCCUUCUGCCUGUGCACGCAGCUUCCCUCGGUACUGGGAUAGCCGAGAUCCCUUACUAGAAGCAGCUCACAAAACCUCCCCCAGUUACUGGGAUAGCCCAGACACCUUCCUAGGGCAGCAGCGGAAGAAAGAAGGGGACAAAAUACCAACGACCAGAAAGAAGAAAGAACUUAGCCUCAGUCACCAGCCACUGGGAGCUGAUAGUAACUGAAGGGAUGGAAAGCCCUCUGGGACAGUUUUAGUGGGAGCCCUCCAGAGCCUGGAGAGACUGCAGGUGGAGCAGGAAGGUGGGGAAGAAUUAGAGCAGUGACCCCGGCCACUUUUGGCCUCACGGUUCUGCACAAUGAGACAUUGCUCAUCUUCAGAGAACCGUGCCAUUCUGGCCAUCUGGCAUCCUAGACAAUUUUCCACUGUCUCUCAGUAUCCAGCCAUCCAGCCAUCUAGCCUCCUAACUACUUCUCUGUGCUGGUCCAGCCCAGUGCUCAGAGUUAGGAUAUUUUUAUGAAUAAAACAGACCUAGCUUCUGCCCUCGUGGAGCUUACAGCGUGGGGCGAAAGGAGACUGAUCAAAAUGCCACACACAUGUAAUUUACAACCUUGGGAAGUGCCAAGAAGGGGAAGUGUUGGGUGCCACUGAGAACAUUCACAGAGGUUAACCUGGGGCUGAGGUGGAGGAAAGGUCAGAUGGAAGCUGUCUAACCACCCUGGGCUUCUGGCUUAGGAUGUGUAGGGCUAGCAGCUCAGCCCAUGAGGUUGUGUCUUGAACUUGGGUAUUGAUGGAAUAGCUAUAGAAACAGAACAACCAUGAAGUGAAGAUGGUGAAUGAAGAUCCUCUCAUCAGCUUGCGAUUGCAUGACAGAGGAGGCUGCAAGGACACUCAGGUGUGAAGACGGGUGAGUUGCCAGUUCUGGAGUGCAGAUGUGGUUACCAGCAGCCUCUGUUUUGGAGGCUACUCUGAAGCCAUAUUCAGCUUGGGAGGCCUCCUGCAGGGUUGACCCAGUUCUGGAACAAACCAAGGUGUUUGGGUCUGAACCAGGGCCUGAGCAGAUCCCAUCCCAUAUCCAGCUGAACUGUCUCACCCAGUCUGCAUUGAGUAUCGGUCCCAAGUGGAGGCCACAGGAAGAAGUGCUGUUCCCUAGUGGUCUUAGAUGCUUCAUCAGCUAAAGCGUGGGGCUCAGUCUCCUGGUGUCCACCUGUAAAAUGAAAGUGGUGUCCCAGAGUCUCUCCAAAGCUCCUUGUGGUGACUCUAUGGUCCUAAGAAACCGUUCACUUUAUAGGCCUAUCUCAGUGCACAGCUGAUGCCUCUGAUGCAGGGGUGGCUGUGGCUGUGCUGCCGCUCCUAUGGGGGAGGCAUCCUGGCCAGCACGCUCUUUGCACCUGAUGACUCCCUACGGCAGCUGCACAGCACUGCAGUUAGAAGCCCAGGCCACGUGGAUUUCAGCCCCGGCCCUACCACUCAGUAGCUGUGUGACCCUGGGCCAGGUGUUUGACCUCCCAAGGCACCCAUUUCCUCAUGGAGGGCAUGCAGAAGGAAGAGAGCCUUCCAGAGGAAAGUCGCCUUGUUCCUUGCUUUGUGACCCUCAUCUCUGCGAGGUAGAGAAGAAAAGGAGGGCUCUUCCAUCGGGAGCUUCCAAGGUUCCGGGUGAGAGCUAGCCAGCUCUGCAUUUGGAGCAGAGAGAGACAGGAAUUUGGGACACUAGGUCACAAGUUGGUCUCUUCCUUUGUCAGCAGUCCAUUCAACAUGGCAAUGCCCACACCCACCUCACAAGGCAUGGAUGACACAAAGAGAUGGCUUGCCUGCAAGAGACCCAGCUGGUCUGGAGUUGGAGGCACACUUCAUUUCUCUGCCCAGCUCGGCAGGCGGCUGGAGCAAACCAGGAGAUCGCCUCAAAUGUUUUAAAUGUCAAUAUGGUCCCUUCUUGCUGGCUUGCCAAGAUUUGACCAGCUAAAUUGGCCUGUGUGGUGUGUUCCCUGCAGUGCACGAUGAGAUAAAAAUGACUGGGCAUCCAGAUUAAUGACUGGAUCACAUGCAGGAACGUACUGGCUGUGAGCAGCCCUGGGCCAGGGCAGAGGUGAACUUGACAAUCAUGUGGACGCUGGCUUUUGAUUACUGCUUCUUCUGGGCUCACGCUACCCAGGGCUCUCUUUAGACCAUCUCUAGGUGAACUUUCUGCCCCAGGAAUGAUCACCUCCAUUUUACUGGUGAGAGGUUCAAGGACUUCCCUUCCUUCUUUCCUCCCUUCCCCUUCUCUCCACUUCCUUCUCCUUCCCUCCUACAUCAUUUUUCCCUUUCCUUUCUUCCUCCCUUCCUUUAGCAAAUAGCCCUGGAGCAGCUGACCGGUUCUAGGAGCUGAGAACAGGGUGAUGGGUAAGAGGGACAAGGGCUUGCUCUCACGGUGUUUACAUUCUAGUGGGGGCAGGAGACAAGUCAACAGAUCAAUAAUUUCAGAUAAGAACAGCUGCUCUAAGAAGAACAACUGGGGAGUGAGAUGCAGUCCACUUUAGGCCGGUGGUUGGGGACGGCUUCUCUUGAGAGGUGGCAUUUAGGGGACUAAAUGGUAACAAUGAGCUGGCCUUGGGCAGGUCUGGGGGCAGAGCCAUCAGUGCCAGGGCACAGAGCUAGGAAAUGCAGAGCAGCUGGUACCCACGACUGGUCUUGCCUGAACCCCUAAUCCUUGCUCUUUCUGCCACAUCCUGCUUUCCCACUUGGCCAAAGAAUUGUGGUUGGCCAAAGGUGGGGCUAAGCUGUGCAGUGGGAGGGGCCAGGCUGAGCUGGAGGUGGCCAGGAGCCUCCUGGUACAGGGCCCUGGUGCCAGUGUCCUCACCCUCCCAGAAUCCUGUUCAUUUGUGUUGAGGACAUGGGGUGAAGGAUCUGAAAAUGCAUGCGCAGGCAGACGACCCACCCAGGCCAUUCACAGCCGCAGCAGUUUGGGACUCUCCGCUUGGCCCAGGUAGGGAGGCACUUGCGGUCCUUCCCAGGCCUGCCGUGAGGCUCCAGGGCCAGCGCCUAUCCCCAGCCCCAAGGAGGCACUCCGAAGAACCUAUUUUAAAUCUCAGCUCAGCAUUUUUGGCCAACUUACAGAGAAGCUGCAAGAUGAGUAAAGGAACUUGCCUAUAUUUUUUAUCUAGAUUUACCAGUUGUUGACAUUUGCCCAUCUGCUUUGUCAUUGGUGCUCUCUCUAUUCUGUGUGUGUGUGUGUGUGUGUGUGUGUGUGUGUGUGUGUGUGU